ACCUGGGUGGCUCAGUCGGUUGAGUGUCUGACUUCAGCUCAGGUCAUGAUCUCACAGUCCGUGAGUUCGAGCCCCGCAUCAGGCU
rnacentral:tRNA from 1 species